rnacentral:rRNA from 1 species
UACGGAGGGGGCGAGCGUUAUUCGGAAUUAUUGGGCGUAAAGGGCGCGUAGGCGGCAUGGCAAGUCAGGGGUGAAAUCCCUCGGCUCAACCGAGGAACUGCCUCUGAAACUGCCAAGCUUGAGACCGGGAGAGGGUAGUGGAAUUCCUAGUGUAGCGGUGAAAUGCGUAGAUAUUAGGAGGAACACCGGUGGCGAAGGCGGCUACCUGGACCGGUUCUGACGCUGAGGCGCGAAAGUGUGGGGAGCGAACAGG